rnacentral:lncRNA from 1 species
UCAGCGGGUAUUAAUUCCAUUCUAUUUCCAGGUUGAACAUCCAUCAGAAGCGAGGUGGCUCUUGCCUGGGGCUUCGCAGAGAAGCCCAAGGGGGAAGAAAGAAGAUACGCAUGGGCCCUAGGCCAGCUACUUUCAGGCAGCACCUGCAGGAAGCUGGCCAGAUUGUGUAAGACUUGGAGCUGCAGUCAAGAUUCCAGUAACAGAAAGAGCCCAUGGGCACCCAGCAUUCAACAGGACUUUUGGCUACCUGGACUGACCUUGCUUGGAGCACAGGAAGACGGUAACAGAGCAGAGCACAGCCCACUGGCAGCCUGCUGGUUCCUUGCCUUCUCUCUCUACCUGUGUCUGGGGAUCACAGGUAAGUCCUCUACAGGGUUCUACACAAGAGUUUAGUGAGCACAUUCUGGGAC